rnacentral:lncRNA from 1 species
GUUCAGAGGACCUGCGCUCCCUGUCAGAGGACAGGAAGCACUCUGAGGAGUGUCCUGAACCCUGUGGAGUGAACAGUCACCAUCAUUACAGCAAUUAGCUGUAAAGCCUGGGGCAACAUCAUCCUUCUGUCUGCAGCACAGCCCAGUGGAAGCUCAGAGGCCAGGCUGCAGCACCCUGCAGACAGGCGGUCGGUAGUGAAACAUAAGGUUUGCAUCAGGUAAACUAGUCCCCAAGAAAGACCCGAUAAGAGGCAUAAAUUGACAAAUUGAUUUGAUUUAAAGUAAAAGUCAAGCAACGAUGAAGAAAUUGGUUAUACUUUUCCAUUUACCAACAGUUGAUGAGCUGGAAAGUAGCCACAGGAAAAGAAAUGCAGGAAUGAAUGACAGAUUUUAAGCUCCUUACCCACCCUGGGAAGCCUGCUUACGAGAGCCACUGCACUGUCCUAGGAAGUUUCGGGUGUGAAAGAGCCUGUAUUUCUUCAACAGCAUCUUCAGCUCCUGCUUCCUAGUAUCUGGAAGGGUAAAGCGAUCAAUGGAUAUCCAUUGACCAGUUAGAUAGACAAAUGACUUUUAAUAAUAUAAAAAUCAUUUUACAACAGAAUAUGUGUCUAUACUGUUUGUACUGUUUUUGUAUUUAUUUACCAGAUUUCUGGCAAUAAAAAGGGUGUUUCACU